rnacentral:rRNA from 1 species
CCUACGGGGGGCUGCAGUGGGGAAUAUUGGACAAUGGGGGGAACCCUGAUCCAGCCAUGCCGCGUGUGUGAAGAAGGCCCUCGGGUUGUAAAGCACUUUCAGUGAGGAAGAACGCCUGGUGGUUAAUACCCAUCAGGAAAGACAUCACUCACAGAAGAAGCACCGGCUAACUCCGUGCCAGCAGCCGCGGUAAUACGGGGGGUGCGAGCGUUAAUCGGAAUUACUGGGCGUAAAGCGCGCGUAGGUGGCUUGAUAAGCCGGUUGUGAAAGCCCCGGGCUCAACCUGGGAACGGCAUCCGGAACUGUCAAGCUAGAGUGCAGGAGAGGAAGGUAGAAUUCCCGGUGUAGCGGUGAAAUGCGUAGAGAUCGGGAGGAAUACCAGUGGCGAAGGCGGCCUUCUGGACUGACACUGACACUGAGGUGCGAAAGCGUGGGUAGCAAACAGGAUUAGAUACCCGAGUAGUC